CCUACGGGAGGCAGCAGUGAGGAAUAUUGGUCAAUGGACGAGAGUCUGAACCAGCCAAGUAGCGUGAAGGAUGACUGCCCUAUGGGUUGUAAACUUCUUUUAUAAAGGAAUAAAACGAGGCACGUGUGCCUUUUUGCAUGUACUUUAUGAAUAAGGAUCGGCUAACUCCGUGCCAGCAGCCGCGGUAAUACGGAGGAUCCGAGCGUUAUCCGGAUUUAUUGGGGUUAAAGGGAGCGUAGAUGGGUUGUUAAGUCAGUUGUGAAAGUUUGCGGCUCAACCGUAAAAUUGCAAUUGAUACUGGCAGGCUAGAGUACAGUUGAGGUAGGCGGAAUUCGUGGUGUAGCGGCGAAAUGCAUAGAUAUCACGAAGAACCCCGAGUGCGAAGGAAGCUUACUAAGCUGUGACUGACAUUGAUGCUCGAAAGUGUGGGUAUCAAACAGGAGUAGAUACCCGGGUAGUC
rnacentral:rRNA from 1 species